CCGGAUUUAUUGGGCGUAAAGGGCUCGUAGGUGGUUGAUCGCGUCGGAAGUGUAAUCUUGGGGCUUAACCCUGAGCGUGCUUUCGAUACGGGUUGACUUGAGGAAGGUAGGGGAGAAUGGAAUUCCUGGUGGAGCGGUGGAAUGCGCAGAUAUCAGGAGGAACACCGAUGGCGAAGGCAGGUCUCUGGGCUGUAACUGACGCUGAGG
rnacentral:rRNA from 1 species